UUGUUAUUAAAGGUCAAACAUAUUUUCAACCCAUAUGAGCGCUGUUGGGUUGUUGGUCUUUUGGAGAAGGUUGAAAAUAGAGAUGUUCUGUCAGUUAGCUUAGUUAGCCUUUUAUCCAUGCUAAAGCAGUGUUGCAUUGUGGGUAGUCAAACUGCAUUUUAAACCAUAACUCUAACCUUAAAACUUUGUUUUUCAAUUUUCUGCAACAGUUAUUCCAGUAUUUUUAACUGGUGUAGCAAGACAGCUUCCAGGUACUGGUUUUGUUAGAUGGAUGCAGUUUAUUCUUGUGAACAGCAGGUGGCAGCAGCAGGACUUUUCACAUCGUCACAAAGAAACAGGAAGUGAUCAUGGUCUAAAGACAACCAAGGUCUCGCUACUGGAAGCUGUCACCAAACAAUUUGCUGGCAUUAAAGAAGAGCUCCUCUACAGUUUGGCAACAGUCAUAGACCCAAGGUGCAAAGACAGAGUUUAUUCUGAAGACUGAAGAGCAAAACUCGGACUGCUUUUUGAUCUGAUGACAGAAGCUGCUCAGAGGGACCCAAACCAGGAACCUGAAGCUAACAGCACAGGGGAGCCAAUAGAGAGAGUGUCAUGACCAGGAUCCUCGUCUUCUAUGUUUGGUGAAAUCCUAGCUGAAGAAACCAUGCAGCAGGCUCACGCGGACACUGCAACACCAUCCGAGAUGAUAAUCUACAUCUCAGAGCCGCCCAUCUCUCGGAGUGCAUCAUCAUUGGAAUACUGGAAAGCUAAUAAGGAAUGCUUCACAAAUACAGAGAGGAGGUGGAACACCCGGUGCAGAGAAAACAACCUCUGCAUCAAUGUGAAGAAGACUUAAGGAGAUGGUGGUGGACUUCAGUGUGCACAUAUCCAAUGACCUCAUGUGGAGUGCCAACACUUCCCAUCUGGCCAGGAAGGCUCACCAGUGUCUCUACUUCUUUAGGAAACUAAGGAAUGCUGGACUUGAGAACUCAGUCCUGAGGAUUUUCUACCACUGUGCGGUGGAGAGCAUCCUCUGCACCUGCAUCACCGUAUGGCACGUCAGCUGCACUGCUGCUGAGAGGAAGGCUCUGCAGAGGGUGCUAAAGGCUGGGCAAAGGACUGUGGGGAGCAGUCUUCCCACUACUUGGACCUCUACACAUCACAAUGCAGGGGGAGGCCCCUCUGCAUCAUGAAGGACUCCACCCAUCCCGCACACAGACUGUUUCAGCCCAUCCCCUCAGGCAGGAGGCUUAGGAGCAUUCAGAACAAGACCACCAGGCUCAGAAACAGCUUCUUCCCUGAAUCUGUCAGACUGCUGAACUCGAGCCACACUCUGUAGACUCUUUUACUACACACUGGCCUGCACUAAACACUUCACCCACCAAAGGUGCAAUAUUUCACUCACUUAAGGUGCAAUAUUAAAGAUUAAGUCAUGCUUUACAUAUGUAUUUAGUAUUUUGCAAUGUUAAUUUCAGCUUCACGUUUUAACUAUGUAUAUUUAUUUAUGUUUGCUCUUUGCUGCAUAUAUUUUUGCGGAUUGCUAUUUAUUGUUGGAUUUAGCUUUGUAUGUUACACUUAGUUUUCUUUUUACUUAAGUAUUAGGCUUCUUAACCAGGACCUGAGUAUGAAUUUCAUACCUUAACAUGUAAAUGUGAGCUGGUAUGAGAGUACAAAUCCUUGAAUCCUUGAGUCCUUUCCAGACCUUGCUAGAGUAGCAAGAGCUUACCUGUCUGCACCCUGCACAAGCGGAGAGUGAGCGCUUACUCAGCGCUGCAUCCAUCAUUAAGAACGAACACAAGACUUAU